rnacentral:tRNA from 1 species
UCCGCGGUGGCUCAGAUGGUAAAGCGUCUGCCUACAAUGCAGGAGACCUGGGUUCGAUCCCUGGGUCAGGAA